UUGGUUUGUUACGGGUGGUUGGCUCUUUGCUUGUGCAACAACUUCCACCCGACAUACCUCUUCAGUUGUGCGCCAAGGCUUUUGUCUUAGCGCAUUGUGGGUUUCCUGUGUUGCCUACCUACGUGACGGUAUUGUUCAGAUUGAACGUAGUCCCUUUUCGUCUUGUGUUACGCUCGUGGCAUGUGAUGAACCUAGUAAAGCAAUUUCUGUGGUCCACUUAUUGAUGUGUAUGCGUCGAUGUUGUGGCCCAUUGAGCAUUGCUUGGUCUUGAGGAUACGGAACCUGAUGUGGGCAUGGGGUCUUCUUUGGAUCCUUGUUCUGCCCUUGUUUAGCGUUCACGCAUCUCUAAAAUGACUGCCCGUCAUGUAGUGGCUCGUACCAGCAUGAUGGGUUAUGUCGAAGAGGAAUGCUACCUGGUUGAUCCUGCCAGUAGUCAUAUGCUUGUCUCAA
rnacentral:misc_RNA from 1 species